UACGGGGGGUGCAAGCGUUGUCCGGAAUUACUGGGCGUAAAGAGCGUGUAGGCGGCUUUGCAAGUCCGUUGUGAAAACUCGAGGCUCAACCUCGAGACGCCGGUGGAAACUGCAAAGCUAGAGUCCGGAAGAGGAGAGUGGAAUUCCUGGUGUAGCGGUGAAAUGCGCAGAUAUCAGGAAGAACACCCGUGGCGAAGGCGGCUCUCUGGGACGGUACUGACGCUGAGACGCGAAAGCGUGGGGAGCGAACAGG
rnacentral:rRNA from 1 species